UGGGGAAUAUUGGACAAUGGGCGAAAGCCUGAUCCAGCCAUGCCGCGUGUGUGAAGAAGGUCUUCGGAUUGUAAAGCACUUUAAGUUGGGAGGAAGGGCAGUAAGCUAAUACCUUGCUGUUUUGACGUUACCGACAGAAUAAGCACCGGCUAACUCUGUGCCAGCAGCCGCGGUAAUACAGAGGGUGCAAGCGUUAAUCGGAAUUACUGGGCGUAAAGCGCGCGUAGGUGGUUUGUUAAGUUGGAUGGGAAAGCCCCGGGCUCAACCUGGGAACUGCAUCCAAAACUGGCAGGCUAGAGUACGGUAGAGGGUGGUGGAAUUUCCUGUGUAGCGGUGAAAUGCGUAGAUAUAGGAAGGAACACCAGUGGCGAAGGCGACCACCUGGACUGAUACUGACACUGAGGUGCGAAAGCGUGGGGAGCAAACA
rnacentral:rRNA from 1 species